GAUGAACGCUGGCGGCGUGCCUAAUACAUGCAAGUCGAGCGAACAGACGAGGAGCUUGCUCCUCUGACGUUAGCGGCGGACGGGUGAGUAACACGUGGAUAACCUACCUAUAAGACUGGGAUAACUUCGGGAAACCGGAGCUAAUACCGGAUAAUAUAUUGAUCCGCAUGGUUCAAUAGUGAAAGACGGUUUUGCUGUCACUUAUAGAUGGAUCCGCGCCGCAUUAGCUAGUUGGUAAGGUAACGGCUUACCAAGGCGACGAUGCGUAGCCGACCUGAGAGGGUGGUCGGCCACACUGGAGCUGGGACGCGGUCCAGGCUCCUACGGGAGGCAGCAGUAGGGAAUCGUCCGCAAUGGGCGAAAGCUUGACGGAGCAACGCCGCGUGAGUGAUGAAGGUCUUCGGAUCGUAAAACUCUGUUAUUAGGGAAGAACAAAUGUGUAAGUAACUAUGCACGUCUUGACGGUACCUAAUCAGAAAGCCACGGCUAACUACGUG
rnacentral:rRNA from 1 species